rnacentral:rRNA from 1 species
GACAGAGGGUGCAAACGUUGUUCGGAAUUACUGGGCGUAAAGCGUGUGUAGGCGGCCCGCUAAGUCGGGUGUGAAAGCCCUGGGCUCAACCCAGGAAGUGCACUCGAAACUGGCGGGCUAGAGUAUCGGAGAGGUUGGUGGAAUUCUCGGUGUAGAGGUGAAAUGCGUAGAGAUCGGGAGGAACACCAGAGGCGAAGGCGGCGACCUGGACAGGUACUGACACUCAACUACGAAAGCGUGGGGAGCAAACAGG